rnacentral:rRNA from 1 species
AGAGUUUGAUCAUGGCUCAGGACGAACGCUGGCGGCGUGCCUCAGACAUGCAAGUCGAACGAGAAAGUCCCCUUCGGGGGGCGAGUAAAGUGGCGCACGGGUGAGUAACACGUAGGUAAUCUACCUUCGGGUGGGGAAUAACCCAGGGAAACUUGGGCUAACACCGCAUAAUGCAGCGGCACCACAUGGUGACAGUUGUUAAAGCGGGGGAUUUUAGGACCUCGCGCCUGAAGAGGAGCCUGCGGCGGAUUAGCUAGUUGGUAAGGUAACGGCUUACCAGGGCGACGAUCCGUAGCCGGCCUGAGAGGGCGGUCGGCCACACUGACACUGACAUACGGGUCAGACUCCUACGGGAGGCAGCAGUCGGGAAUUUUGGGCAAUGGGCGAAAGCCUGACCCAGCAACGCCGCGUGAAGGAUGAAAUCCCUCGGGAUGUAAACUUCGCAAGAAUGGGAAGAAUUAGCGAGCGCUAAUACCGCUCGUGAUGACGGUACCAUUUGUAAGCUCCGGCUAACUCCGUGCCAGCAGCCGCGGUAAUACGGGGGAGCAAGCGUUGUUCGGAUUUACUGGGCGUAAAGGGCGCGUAGGCGGUCAGCACAAGUCAGUUGUGAAAUCUCCGGGCUUAACUCGGAAAGGUCAACUGAUACUGUGCGACUAGAGUGCGGAAGGGGCAACUGGAAUUCUCGGUGUAGCGGUGAAAUGCGUAGAUAUCGAGAGGAACACCUGCGGCGAAGGCGGGUUGCUGGGCCGACACUGACGCUGAGGCGCGAAAGCCAGGGGAGCGAACGGGAUUAGAUACCCCGGUAGUCCUGGCCUUAAACGAUGGAUGCUUGGUGUCUGGGGUUUUAUAGUCCCCGGGUGCCGUAGCUAACGCGUUAAGCAUCCCGCCUGGGGAGUACGGUCGCAAGACUGAAACUCAAAGGAAUUGACGG